rnacentral:lncRNA from 1 species
AAGAAGUGGGGUGAUUAUGUAAUCUGCAAAUGCCGAACUGAGGUUGUCGAUCGCGAAAAUAAUAACAGUAAUCAAUACAUCACUGGCAGUCUGUGGGAGAGCAACUGAGAAGAAAACUUCACCCAAGUACAGGAAGCGGCAGUCAUCAUGCUUCGAGGAAGAAACUCCCUCAUAAUCGCAGGGUUUGUGGGAUGUAUAGGCAUUGCGCUGUACCCCAUUGUCAUCUCUCCAAUGAUGAACUCAUCAUCGUGGAAGCAAGUACAAAGAGAAACAAGAAAGGGUGUGAAUCAGAAAGAUGUUCAACCUGGAGGCAUGAGAGUAUGGAGCGACCCUUUCAAGCCUCGAGCCGACUCCAAGUGAGAUCUCGAAAUUCUGCCGACAAAUGUCAACAGUUUAUGAACAGAAACACUUGAACUUUGAAGCAAUGGCCUAUAUUGUCAUGACCAUGUGCAAGAUAACGUAAACAAGAUAUAAACGCUUGAAGGAGAGAGAAAAAUGACGUUCUAGGAGAGGAGCAAGAGGAUUUUCCAAGAGGACUUUAUUCUACGUCACAUCAGGGUUCAUCGUUUGAUGUUCCCUUUGGAAACACCUUGCUCUAUAAUGCAGUGCUGAACAAUUGCUACAUGUACAUCGCAAACGUCAAUGCAGUGAAACUGUGAGUUCAUAAAGGGUCUGCAGCUCUUUCUUGCGGAUGGGAAGUUACAACCUGGUCACUCGUUAUGGUAAUUUUUAUUGGGCAAUGCAAUUCAGUAAUCAUGGGAAUAUGAUUUUAUUUAUCAUGGAAAAAGCAUGGUAUAAGUAAUAAUAAUAAUAAUAACUGAAUUAUACACAGAGAGUUAAUGCCCUUCUGGCUCUACUAGAGACUACAUGUACUGAAUGUAAUCCAUAGGUGAAUCUAGUAAAGGGUAUACACUUGACUUGUGACUGUCAUUUGAAAAUUGAAGAAAAAACAAAAAACAAACAGAAAAGGAAAAAACAACUUAACUAAAACCCUGUAUUAAAUUGAUUGAUCAUGAUAAUGGGCAAGACCAACAAAUCAGGGAAAUUGUUCUGCUUUUUAUUCUUCUGAUUUUCAUCUUUCAAUCAAUCAAACUUUUGUUUAACUGUUAUCCUUCAUUUGUGACAUCAGCUGUCAGUAUACAGUUUUAUUCCUACAGUUUGACCAAUCAGAGGCUAGAAUCAUUAAAUGCAGAUGAUAAUAUGAACUCUUGGAGCCUUGUAUACCUACUUUCAUUAUACAUUGCAAAUUUGUUUACUUUUUAACGAUGAAGUGUAGAUUAUCAUGAAGAAAAUGUGAUUUUACGAGUGGUGGCAUGUUUUCAAACAUUUUGAUACUAAUGAGUAACACGAUUUCAGGACGAUAAUUCUUGGAAUGCUAAAUGCUUUUAAUUACUAAUCAAAUUACUUAUUUAGGGGAUAGGGUUCACCAUCAAUAACUAGAAUCAAAAGAGCUCUGUUAAUGGUAUCUGAGAGGUUUUGUGUAUUCUUUUACCUCCCAACUAAUGUCCAUAUAAAACUGAAUCAUGCACUCAGUAUGCAAUUUGCUUUGCUUUUCAACUUUAGAAGAUUCUUUAUAUUGUUUAUGACAGGUUAUGUAAGCUUGUAAAGCUGGACAAAUAUGAAUAAAUAUUAAAAGAUGUAUCAAAA